CUUAGUGGCGGACGGGUGAGUAACGCGUGGGUAACCUGCCUUAUACAGGGGGAUAACAACCAGAAAUGGUUGCUAAUACCGCAUAAGCGCACAGGACCGCAUGGUCCGGUGUGAAAAACUCCGGUGGUAUAAGAUGGACCCGCGUUGGAUUAGCUAGUUGGCAGGGCAACGGCCUACCAAGGCGACGAUCCAUAGCCGGCCUGAGAGGGUGAACGGCCACAUUGGGACUGAGACACGGCCCAG
rnacentral:rRNA from 1 species